CUGCUAUCGGGGUCCGACUAAGCCAUGCGAGUUGAGAGGGGUAAGCCCUCGGCGAAUUGCUCAGUAACACGCGGACAACCUGCCCUUGGGUCCGGGAUAACCCCGGGAAACUGGGACUAAUACCGGAUAGAUCAAGGAUACUGGAAUGUUCCCUGGUCUAAAACUCCGGUGCCCAAGGAUGGGUCUGCGGCCUAUCAGGUAGUAAUGGGUGUAACGUACCUACUAGCCUACGACGGGUAAGGGUUGUGAGAGCAAGAGCCCUGAGAUGGAUUCUGAGACAUGAAUCCAGGCCCUACGGGGUGCAGCAGGCGCGAAAACUUUACACUGCGGGAAACCGCGAUAAGGGGACCCCGAGUGCCAGCACCUAAGUGCUGGCUGUCCCGCUGUCUAAACAACAGUGGUUAGCAAGGGCCGGGCAAGACCGGUGCCAGCCGCCGCGGUAACACCGGCGGCCCGAGUGGUAGCCGUUAUUAUUGGGUUUAAAGGGUCCGUAGCCGGCCUGUUAAGUCUCUUGGGAAAUCUGGCGACUUAAUCGUCAGGCGUCCAAGAGAUACUGACAGGCUUGGGACCGGGAGAGGUGGGAGGUACUCCAGGGGUAGGGGUGAAAUCUCGUAAUCCUUGGGGGACCACCGAUGGCGAAGGCAUCCCACCAGAACGGGUCCGACGGUGAGGGACGAAAGCUGGGGGCACGAACCGGAUUAGAUACCCGGGUAGUCCCAGCUGUAAACGAUGCUCGCUAGGUGUCAGGUGCGGUGCGACCGCAUCUGGUGCCGCAGUGAAAACUUGAAGCGAGUCACCUGGGAAGUACGGUCGCAAGGCUGAAACUUAAAGGAAUUGGCGGGGGAGCACUACAACGGGUGAGCUCGNC
rnacentral:rRNA from 1 species